UACGUAGGGGGCAAGCGUUGUCCGGAAUUAUUGGGCGUAAAGAGCGCGUAGGCGGUUUGGCGCGUCGGCUGUGAAAACCCGGAGCUCAACUCCGGGCCUGCAGUCGAUACUGGCGGACUAGAGUUCGGCAGGGGAGACUGGAAUUCCUGGUGUAGCGGUGAAAUGCGCAGAUAUCAGGAGGAACACCAGAGGCGAAAGCGGCGACCUGGACCGGUACUGACACUCAAGUCCGAAAGCGUGGGGAGCAAACAGG
rnacentral:rRNA from 1 species